ensembl:lncRNA
GUGAAAGUCUGAUCAAACAUGAGUUGCUGCUUGAAGUAGGGCAUGUUUCUCUACCUGUCUUUUUGGGAAACAAAGGAGUUCCACACUAAAUUGGACAGACAGAAAGAUCUUUAGCCCACUGAACCAGGAAUAGCCAUUUUAUUAAAGCUGUAUGAGUAUUUUGCUGCAAAAGUUACUAUAUCCAAAAGAUUUACCAAGAUUUACCUUCUCAGCCUGCAUAACAGUAUUCUCCUGGAGAAACUGGCUGCUCAUGGCUUGCACAUGUGCACAGUUCUCUGAGUGAAGAACUGAUUGGAUGUUCAGACUCAGAGAGUAACAAUGAAUGGGCUUCAAUGAAAUCGGCAGCUGGUCAACAGUGACAUUCCUCAAGACUCAGUACUGGGGU